GAUGAACGCUGGCGGCGUGCCUAAUACAUGCCAGUCGAGCGAACGGACGAGAAGCUUGCUUCUCUGAUGUUAGCGGCGGACGGGUGAGUAACACGUGGAUAACCUACCUAUAAGACUGGGAUAACUUCGGGAAACCGGAGCUAAUACCGGAUAAUAUUUUGAACCGCAUGGUUCAAAAGUGAAAGACGGUCUUGCUGUCACUUAUAGAUGGAUCCGCGCUGCAUUAGCUAGUUGGUAAGGUAACGGCUUACCAAGGCAACGAUGCAUAGCCGACCUGAGAGGGUGAGCUGCCACACUUGAACUGGGACACGGUCCAGACUCCUACGGGAGGCAGCAGUUGGGAAUCUUCGGCGAUGGGCGGAAGACUGACGGAGCAACGCCGCGUGAGUGAUGAAGGUCUUCGGAUCGUAAAACUCUGUUAUUAGGGAAGAACAUAUGUGUAAGUAACUGUGCACAUCUUGACGGUACCUAAUCAGAAAGCCACGGCUAACUACGUG
rnacentral:rRNA from 1 species